AGAGCCAGUCCUUCUCAAAGCCUUGAGAAAUGUAAACAAACCAUAAAUAAUGGAUUUAUUAGUUUAAUUACUCAGUUCUCCCACAUGUUCAGUUGGGAAGCUGGGAAGCCAAAUGAAGCUAAUUGUAAAUGUGUGGUUGACAAAUACAAGGCCGGAAUGGUCAGGUAAUUGAAAGGCCAGGAGGAGGAGCAGUGGCUGACGUUGUUUCAUUGCUCCUGGAGGAGGAAGGGAGAGGUAUUGCUAGUGGGUAGCGAAGCCUCAUUUGCAGCCCAGAAGCAGGAACACACAGUAAGUGAUGACUGAUCAGAGCUGCAGGACCUCGCAUCUCAGUCUCAUAAUGUCUCAGAGCUUCACAGCGGGAAGGAGCACCGAGACCUUCACAUCUUGCAAUGUCUCAGGGAAGGAGACCAGGCUAUUUCCCUUAGGAAUGCAAGCCUGCUCUGUGUGGAGGCACUUACAUCCCAUCAGCUUAAGAAGGGUGGAGGAGGGGAGAAAGAGAGAUUAAACAUCUUUUGGCAAAAGUCCAGGACCAUCGCGGUUUUGAGGAUGAUGGACCCUGAUGAAUCUCAGCAAAUCCAUUUUAACGUCCUUUCUCCAUCUAUCUAUUAAAGCACGCCAUCCAUCCAGUGGUCAUCCUCCAUCAGCAGAACAUCGUAUACAUUCCAAAAUUAUGUGAGUUUUUCUAUAAAACGGUUCAAUAAUCCAGAUUGUCUUUGCUCCGUUGCCGUAAAUUAGUCUUUUAAUCUCAAAACUUCUCUAACUUUAAAUGACUAAUGUGUUCUCCUUCCUGGUAUUGCUAGAGAAGUCAGGCAGUGAUUUAGAACAGGGAAGCCAACAUCAUUUGUUCAUGUUAUUUAUCACCAGUUGGAACCAAUUAGAUGGCUAGAAUUCAUCAGUAAACAAUA